UGACAGCCCCGUACACAAAAAUGCACAUAUUGUGAGCUUGAUGAGUAGGGCGGGACACGUGGUAUCCUGUCUGAAUAUGGGGGGACCAUCCUCCAAGGCUAAAUACUCCUGACUGACCGAUAGUGAACCAGUACCGUGAGGGAAAGGCGAAAAGAACCCCGGCGAGGGGAGUGAAAAAGAACCUGAAACCGUGUACGUACAAGCAGUGGGAGCACGCUUAGGCGUGUGACUGCGUACCUUUUGUAUAAUGGGUCAGCGACUUAUAUUCUGUAGCAAGGUUAACCGAAUAGGGGAGCCGAAGGGAAACCGAGUCUUAACUGGGCGUUAAGUUGCAGGGUAUAGACCCGAAACCCGGUGAUCUAGCCAUGGGCAGGUUGAAGGUUGGGUAACACUAACUGGAGGACCGAACCGACUAAUGUUGAAAAAUUAGCGGAUGACUUGUGGCUGGGGGUGAAAGGCCAAUCAAACCGGGAGAUAGCUGGUUCUCCCCGAAAGCUAUUUAGGUAGCGCCUCGUGAAUUCAUCUCCGGGGGUAGAGCACUGUUUCGGCAAGGGGGUCAUCCCGACUUACCAACCCGAUGCAAACUGCGAAUACCGGAGAAUGUUAUCACGGGAGACACACGGCGGGUGCUAACGUCCGUCGUGAAGAGGGAAACAACCCAGACCGCCAGCUAAGGUCCCAAAGUCAUGGUUAAGUGGGAAACGAUGUGGGAAGGCCCAGACAGCCAGGAUGUUGGCUUAGAAGCAGCCAUCAUUUAAAGAAAGCGUAAUAGCUCACUGGUCGAGUCGGCCUGCGCGGAAGAUGUAACGGGGCUAAACCAUGCACCGAAGCUGCGGCAGCGACGCUUAUGCGUUGUUGGGUAGGGGAGCGUUCUGUAAGCCUGCGAAGGUGUGCUGUGAGGCAUGCUGGAGGUAUCAGAAGUGCGAAUGCUGACAUAAGUAACGAUAAAGCGGGUGAAAAGCCCGCUCGCCGGAAGACCAAGGGUUCCUGUCCAACGUUAAUCGGGGCAGGGUGAGUCGACCCCUAAGGCGAGGCCGAAAGGCGUAGUCGAUGGGAAACAGGUUAAUAUUCCUGUACUUGGUGUUACUGCGAAGGGGGGACGGAGAAGGCUAUGUUGGCCGGGCGACGGUUGUCCCGGUUUAAGCGUGUAGGCUGGUUUUCCAGGCAAAUCCGGAAAAUCAAGGCUGAGGCGUGAUGACGAGGCACUACGGUGCUGAAGCAACAAAUGCCCUGCUUCCAGGAAAAGCCUCUAAGCAUCAGGUAACAUCAAAUCGUACCCCAAACCGACACAGGUGGUCAGGUAGAGAAUACCAAGGCGCUUGAGAGAACUCGGGUGAAGGAACUAGGCAAAAUGGUGCCGUAACUUCGGGAGAAGGCACGCUGAUAUGUAGGUGAAGUCCCUUGCGGAUGGAGCUGAAAUCAGUCGAAGAUACCAGCUGGCUGCAACUGUUUAUUAAAAACACAGCACUGUGCAAACACGAAAGUGGACGUAUACGGUGUGACGCCUGCCCGGUGCCGGAAGGUUAAUUGAUGGGGUCAGCGCAAGCGAAGCUCUUGAUCGAAGCCCCGGUAAACGGCGGCCGUAACUAUAACGGUCCUAAGGUAGCGAAAUUCCUUGUCGGGUAAGUUCCGACCUGCACGAAUGGCGUAAUGAUGGCCAGGCUGUCUCCACCCGAGACUCAGUGAAAUUGAACUCGCUGUGAAGAUGCAGUGUACCCGCGGCAAGACGGAAAGACCCCGUGAACCUUUACUAUAGCUUGACACUGAACAUUGAGCCUUGAUGUGUAGGAUAGGUGGGAGGCUUUGAAGUGUGGACGCCAGUCUGCAUGGAGCCGGCCUUGAAAUACCACCCUUUAAUGUUUGAUGUUCUAACGUGGACCCGUGAUCCGGGUUGCGGACAGUGUCUGGUGGGUAGUUUGACUGGGGCGGUCUCCUCCUAAAGAGUAACGGAGGAGCACGAAGGUUGGCUAAUCCUGGUCGGACAUCAGGAGGUUAGUGCAAUGGCAUAAGCCAGCUUGACUGCGAGCGUGACGGCGCGAGCAGGUGCGAAAGCAGGUCAUAGUGAUCCGGUGGUUCUGAAUGGAAGGGCCAUCGCUCAACGGAUAAAAGGUACUCCGGGGAUAACAGGCUGAUACCGCCCAAGAGUUCAUAUCGACGGCGGUGUUUGGCACCUCGAUGUCGGCUCAUCACAUCCUGGGGCUGAAGUAGGUCCCAAGGGUAUGGCUGUUCGCCAUUUAAAGUGGUACGCGAGCUGGGUUUAGAACGUCGUGAGACAGUUCGGUCCCUAUCUGCCGUGGGCGCUGGAGAACUGAGGGGGGCUGCUCCUAGUACGAGAGGACCGGAGUGGACGCAUCACUGGUGUUCGGGUUGUCAUGCCAAUGGCACUGCCCGGUAGCUAAAUGCGGAAGAGAUAAGUGCUGAAAGCAUCUAAGCACGAAACUUGCCCCGAGAUGAGUUCUCCCUGACCCUUUAAGGGUCCUGAAGGAACGUUGAAGACGACGACGUUGAUAGGCCGGGUGUGUAAGCGCAGCGAUGCGUUGAGCUAACCGGUACUAAUGAACCGUGAGG
rnacentral:rRNA from 1 species